UACGGAGGGGACUAGCGUUGUUCGGAUUUACUGGGCGUAAAGGGUGCGUAGGCGGCUUAGUAAGUUAGAAGUGAAAGCCCAGGGCUUAACCCUGGAACUGCUUCUAAAACUAUUAGGCUAGAGUGCGGGAGAGGAUAGUGGAAUUCCUAGUGUAGAGGUGAAAUUCUUAGAUAUUAGGAGGAACACCGGUGGCGAAAGCGACUAUCUGGAACGUUACUGACGCUGAGGCACGAAAGCGUGGGGAGCAAACAGG
rnacentral:rRNA from 1 species